UAAUAAGUGUUUUAUGGCACUUUUAAAAAUCCAUAUCCACCUUGUGUGAAAUGUCUGUCGCUUUUCUCUUUUUUCCUCGGAAAAAAACGAAGCGGCUCAACAUCAACUUAUCCUUGAACUCUUUGUCUGAAAAAUAUUAUGAAUAAAAUAAUUCAAAAUA
rnacentral:misc_RNA from 1 species